UACGUAGGGUGCGAGCGUUAAUCGGAAUUACUGGGCGUAAAGCGUGCGCAGGCGGUUUGGUAAGACAGAUGUGAAAUCCCCGGGCUCAACCUGGGAAUUGCAUUUGUGACUGCCCGGCUAGAGUGUGUCAGAGGGGGGUAGAAUUCCACGUGUAGCAGUGAAAUGCGUAGAUAUGUGGAGGAAUACCGAUGGCGAAGGCAGCCCCCUGGGAUAACACUGACGCUCAUGCACGAAAGCGUGGGGAGCAAACAAGG
rnacentral:rRNA from 1 species